CGCGGGUUCGAAUCCGCCUCCCGCA
rnacentral:tRNA from 2 species